UCUCAACCAUGCAUUAAAUGAACCGUGCAUUAAACGUCCCAACCUUUGCUUUAGAUCAAAGCCAAUGAAUCAACGAAUCACUAUUCAACUUCCCUAAUUCCCCUCUCCCAGGUUAAAUAUAUAUACGACAUCGCCGUAUGAAUCCCUAAAGCUGCUCAAAUCAAACGCCCCCUCUCACGCGUGUAUCCAUCGAAGAAUUCUUCUGCAAAUCUGCAAUGACCUAGGGCGCAAGGUAACUUUUUCCUCUCACAAUGUUUAUGAUGAGUUUUGUUUGGUAAGAUUAAUGCGCUUACUGCUUCUUUUGGUGUGGAUUUUGACCGAACCUAAUUCAUUGUCUAAUUCUCAGGCUUUUUUAUUAACUCUAGACUAUAUCUAAUUUAUUGUCUGGCUAUACGAACCAAAGGACUUUGGUGACCAAUCAGCCGAUCACAAUUGGUCAUAUCAGUUUUUUUUUUUUUGCUUUGUAGACAAUUAAGAGAAGGAGCAGAAAUGUGCUCACUUUUGUGUCUGCUUACUAUGCAACUAAAAAUUAUUGCAAUACUUUCAUUACUUUCUUAUGGGAUGAUGAUAUGAAGCUUUUAUUUUAUUUUCACACUCUAGCUUCUGCUUUUUGAAACUUCGUGUUGUGGCUUUUGUGAAACGUAGUUAGCUCAUGUCUUGGACGCUGUGUCACAAAAUCUUGCAACAUUAUGUUAUAAUUUCACUAUGUAUUUAUACUGUUGCGGUCAAAGGUCUCAGUGGUACUUUGUACCAUAAUAGUUUAACUUUUGAUUGUAUUGGAGUAUGCUUGCUUGAAGAAAUCAAGAAGAAAAAGAGUUUACAAGGAUUAAGGAUUUUAAAGGUGGCGAAGAGGAUAAGUGUCGCUCCAAGAGAUGACCAUGCCAACAGCCAUAUAAGUACAAAACCGGUCAGAGCUAGAGUUCUUGAACAGCAUGAUGAUCUUUUCAAACUUGGCCGUGCAUUGGCGUUUCUACUACCGCAUUUGUAAGUAAAAUGAGUCUACAUAUUUGAACACUAAGUAUACAAAACAAUUAUUCUGAUACCUAUUUUCAUACUCUCUUUGUUUGGGAUAUAAACUGUCAGUAUGUUGAGAGCGCGAAUAAUUCCUGAGGCUGACAAGAAAGAAUGUCUGUAAAAAGCGUGUGAGGAUAAGUGGUUUGUUUGAUUAGCGUAGUGUGUCCUAGAUUGGAAUAAAUUAUUCUUUUGUUUCUUCAGAUGGAGUUUCAUAACACAACUACCAAAAGAAAAUGUUGAAGAUGUUGAGGUGAUAAAAGAGGCGAAGGCAUACAAAGCAUCUUGAGAAAAUAGUGACCAAGGGGAAGGAGUUUCUGAAGCAUCAGAGGUUUCCUCUGUAUUAAUGGAGAAGGUUGCUGGUCUGAUACCAAUAUCUCGAGGAGGAUGACGAUGUGUCUAUCAAUAUUGGCAAAGGCUGGCUUCUUUUCACAGAUAACACAAGGAUUGACAUGGAAAGAAACACAUGAUGAAGUUACAGCUGCCGCGAUGUACAUGAAAGACACACUUGCUGCUGAAGGAUUUCAACAAACAAUCAGCUGUCUCUCCAAAGAAAAAGGCAAAUAAUCAUCCCCUUCAUGGGAUUUUAAUCUUUAAAGUUCAUUUGUUAAUUGAUUUUUGUAUUGUAUCUGGUUUCUCAACAGAGGGAAGAAUUGUAGUGUAUGAUACUUGCGGGUUGGGAAGAAAAUGCAACAAAAUAAAAAUCAACAAGGAAAAAAAAAGAGUGCUCUGGUGUCUGCGCAGGAAGGUAAUGACAACCCCAUCGCUGAUAUGCUGGGAGCUGCAUCUGUAACAACAAAUACCUCUCAUGAUGUGUAGAUUGGUGUUCCUAUGACCAGCAUAAGGCUUGAUUGAUAGGCAUGGGAUGGUUGAAAAAAACAGAGGCGAGGUAGCUCUGCCAAGUGCUCGACCUGUUGUUCCCGAAAUGACUGCGGAGUGCGGAGAAGCUAACAGUUCUGGAACAUGGGCUCUCUGACAUGCAUUGAGUAAAAUCUCAAGUAAUGGAGUCUAUGACCCUCAUGUCAACUCCCACAAACUACACCAGAGCUUUUUUAAAUUUCGCAUAUUAAUGAAUUAUGACUCAAAACUCAUUACUACCGUCCGUCAUGUUAGUGUAUGUGUUUUGUUUUCAAAAUUUUGUAUCUAAUCAACUAAGCUCUGUUUUUCAAAAAAAAAAUUUAGAACAUGUUUAAAAUUAGUCUUCGGAUUAAUAGAAUAACUUACAUCCCAUUAGAUCAAUACGAAUGCUCAUCCCAGUAAUAAUCUCAUUUUCCUCCUCAGUACCUAUCACAAUCACCAAAAUCUUCUCCACCAACAAAGUUUACAGCUAAUACGUAAUAGGCAAAUAACCUCCUAAAUUGUAUAUGACUUAUUAUCUUCAAACCAAAUUUCAUUUCAAUACAACUACACAUUAUUAAACAAUAUAGCUCAACUUCAAAGAUGUAACCACAUUUACCAUCAUAUAAUUUCCCUUCUCCAGAACUAAGCCAGUUUCCGGUGAGUUCCAAUUACUAAAUAAAUAAACUAAACUUUAACACAAUUAGUGAGUUAAUUUACAGUAUAAACAAUAAUAUUUAACACUCAAAUAUGUAAUAAAUUAGAUUAGUAGUAAAAUAUAUUCAAAAGAUAUACAGCCUCUGUUUUUUGAAAAAAUAUAAGUUUUAAUAUUUUUCAUACAUAUAAAAAUAUAUUAAAUA